rnacentral:rRNA from 1 species
ACGGGGUGGAGCAGGCGCGAAAAUUUCCCAAUGCACGCAAGUGUGAGGAAGGAAUUCUGAGUGCUAAAGUUUUUACUUUAGCUUUUGCCAUGUGUAAAAAGCAUGGCGAAUAAGGACUGGGCAAGAUCGGUGCCAGCAGCCGCGGUAAUCCCGACGGUCCGAGUGGGACUCGCAUUUAUUGGGUCUAAAACAUCCGUAGCCGGCUUCUUAAGUCUUGUGUUAAAUUGUUGUUCUUAAGACAACACAUGCACAAGAGACUGAAAGGCUGGAGACUGGGAGACGUAGUGAGUACAGCUCGGGUAGCGGUAAAAUGUGUUAAGCCGAGCCGGACUAACAAUGGCGAAGGCACGCUACGAGAACAGUUCUGACGGUGAGGGAUGAAAGCUAAGGGCGCAAAUUGGAUUAGAUACUCAAGUAGUCUUAGCUGUAAACACUGCCCACUAAACAUCGUGAUCUCCUCGGGAGAUUGCGGUGCUGUAGAGAAGUCGAGAGUGGGCUACCUGGGGAGUAUAGUCGCAAGACCGAAACUUAAAGGAAUUGGCGGGGGAGCAC